rnacentral:tRNA from 1 species
GAAAAAACAAAAUUGAAGCUGCUAACUUUAAUUUGGGGAUUUUUUUUCUCCUUUUUUCU